UCUGAGACAGGUGCUGCAUGGCUGUCGUCAGCUCGUGUUGUGAAAUGUUGGGUUAAGUCCCGCAACGAGCGCAACCCUUAUCCUUUGUUGCCAGCACGUAAUGGUGGGAACUCAAAGGAGACUGCCGGUGAUAAACCGGAGGAAGGUGGGGAUGACGUCAAGUCAUCAUGGCCCUUACGAGUAGGGCUACACACGUGCUACAAUGGCGUAUACAAAGAGAAGCGAACUCGCGAGAGCAAGCGGACCUCAUAAAGUACGUCGUAGUCCGGAUCGGAGUCUGCAACUCGACUCCGUGAAGUCGGAAUCGCUAGUAAUCGUAGAUCAGAAUGCUACGGUGAAUACGUUCCCGGGCCUUGUACACACCGCCCGUCACACCAUGGGAGUGGGUUGCAAAAGAAGUAGGUAGCUUAACCUUCGGGAGGGCGCUUACCACUUUGUGAUUCAUGACUGGGGUGAAGUCGUAACAAGGUAGCCGUA
rnacentral:rRNA from 1 species